CAGCACCUCAAGUGGUCAGGAUGAUUAUUGGGCCUAAAGCAUCCGUAGCCGGCUCUGUAAGUUUUCGGUUAAAUCUGUAUGCUCAACAUACAGGCUGCCGGGAAUACUGCAGAGCUAGGGAGUGGGAGAGGUAGACGGUACUCGGUAGGAAGGGGUAAAAUCCUUUGAUCUAUUGAUGACCACCUGUGGCGAAGGCGGUCUACCAGAACACGUCCGACGGUGAGGGAUGAAAGCUGGGGGAGCAAACCGGAUUAGAGACCCGAGUAGUCC
rnacentral:rRNA from 1 species